UACGUAGGGGGCUAGCGUUGUCCGGAAUCAUUGGGCGUAAAGCGCGUGUAGGCGGCCCGGUAAGUCCGCUGUGAAAGUCGGGGGCUCAACCCUCGAAUGCCGGUGGAUACUGUCGGGCUAGAGUGCGGAAGAGGGGAGUGGAAUUCCUGGUGUAGCGGUGAAAUGCGCAGAUAUCAGGAGGAACACCAAUUGCGAAGGCAGCUCGCUGGGACGUAACUGACGCUGAGACGCGAAAGCGUGGGGAGCAAACAGG
rnacentral:rRNA from 1 species